GAUGAACGCUGGCGGCGUGCCUAAUACAUGCAAGUCGAGCGAACAGACGAGAAGCUUGCUCCUCUGAUGUUAGCGGCGGACGGGUGAGUAACACGUGGAUAACCUACCUAUAAGACUGGGAUAACUUCGGGAAACCGGAGCUAAUACCGGAUAAUAUUUUGAACCGCAUGGUUCAAUAGUGAAAGACGGUUUUGCUGUCACUUAUAGAUGGAUCCGCGCUGCAUUAGCUAGUUGGUAAGGUAACGGCUUACCAAGGCAACGAUGCGUAGCCGACCUGAGAGGGUGAUCGGCCACACGGGAACUGAGACACGGUCCAGACGCCUACGGGAGGCAGCAGUAGGGAAUCUUCCGCAAUGGGCGAAAGCCUGACGGAGCAACGCCGCGUGAGUGAUGAAGGUCUUCGGAUCGUAAAACUCUGUUAUUAGGGAAGAACAAAUGUGUAAGUAACUGUGCACAUCUUGACGGUACCUAAUCAGAAAGCCACGGCUAACUACGUG
rnacentral:rRNA from 1 species